GAAUUUUUUUAAUUCUGUUUUGAAUACAGAGAAGAUUAGCAUUGCCCCUACACUAUAAAAGAAGCAGUACCUUUGAGAAAUAAUAAUAAUAAUA